rnacentral:lncRNA from 1 species
UCCCCAUGCAAGUCAUUUAUCAUCAGUAUUAUAAAUUAUUGGAUAAGUUUCAUUAUGUCUCGCCAGAGCAAACAGCAUCUCUGGCAUAACAUACUGAAGUUUACAAGAUCUCCAAGUUACUACUUUAGGUUGCAUGAGUUGGUGGAAGAAUCGAGAAAAAGAAGGGGAAAGUAAAUGGAUCCAGCAGUUUCGAAUUUAGCUUUUUCUUUACUUUUACUUUCCCCUCCACACAUCCCUCCCUAAAUCCCCUUGAUCCAAAUCAGCUAAAAACAAUCAAAGUAUUUUGAAUUACCAAUAAGGCAUUUCGCUUGUUAAUUGUUGGUAAAUCCAUGAAUAACAUGGGGAAUAACGAGUGCGGAUAGUGGUACAGAAAGUAGCUAUGUUGUCUUGCGAAUACGAGAUAAAGGAUAGUAACCAUGGGAGCUUUACUCUAUAAUAACCUACUGAUUUCAUUUUCAUAUCCUCCUAACGAGUAAUACCUUAAGAGAAAUUACCUAAACACAUGGAAUGACCUUCCAUUAUGCUUUCUUUGUCUUUUAGUUUUAGCAGAUAAAUCAUUACACAAUGGCAAGAAAUCAAGUUUUCUUUCUUUCCCUCCAAAAAAAACUCAGCAAUUAAAUGAUCAUUAUGGUUUCAUAGGUGCCAAUUAAGAAGCAGGUAAGGUUUUGACAGAAAAACUUUUGGAACAUACUCGACUAUGGAAGCCGAUGAAUGAGUGUUAAGAAUGGUCAUGUAAUCAUAUCCCAGGUUUAGAUUUCCUUUCCUCCUAUUCCCGCACCAACGCAAAACUAGGGGGUUCGAUAAAUUGCCAUCCACUUUUGAUACCCAGUAAACCCUACUUGCCAAAAAGGAAAUUUUUUAUUUAAAUGACCGAUAGACACUAACGUACAACACAAAUUGGAACAUACUCACUUCAACUCCAACUCGACAAAUGCUCCAAAUAACAAAUCACGGGAAUCACAAAAGCUCUGUACACUGACCCUUCCUCACCUCGUCUCCUAGUACUUACGGCCACGCGCUCUAUCGGGUCGCGUAUAUCUCCCAUUCAACCUCGCGCGCAAAAAGGGCAGAGCCCGAAAUUCCCCGAACCAAUGUACUCGGACGAGCUCGUAACGAUCGCUAUCGUGACAUGAUCGGGCAUGUCCAUGGCCCCGGACCCCCGCAAGCGAUCGACUCGCAUCUCUCAUCUAACUCUCGUUCUGCUCUCUCUGGCUCUUAAUCUCUCUCUCUCUCUCCAACGACUCGAACUCACAUUAUCGGACUAAAAAGGGACUCAAAUCGCCAUCUGAUACAAACCCAAGCUGUGCAGUCAGCGACAGAAGAGACGAAACGUGGCGCGAGAUCGAUCACAGGUUGGUUGAAGAAGAUAGGAUCCCGUGAAGCUUUUACAAACAGGUUAGGGUUUUGAAAGGGGACACCUCGACGACGAUGAUCAGUAACCCCUCUCUCCCUCUACAACUUCUCGUGAGUUGUUGCCUGCAGGGGCAGGUACCAAAGAAGAGAGGCCCAUUUGUGACCGUCAGCUUUCUUCUCCUCUGAGCCUACUAGGGAGUCGUAACAUAGGCGAGGGAUCACCCUCUGCUUUUGUGCUUGGUCUAGCUCAAGCUACUUUUUUCUCUCCAAGGGUCUACAAGAAGUUCGUAGACGGAUCGCGGUUUGCUAAUCGUCAAAGGCCAUUCCUGGAUAACACACCCAGAGGACACACACCAGGAGAGUAUUUUUUUUUUAGUAAUGUUCGCGUAGUGGAACAGGUGUCUAGAGCGACGAGAUGAAGUGACAGGAGAAGGAAUUAUGAACUGUUAUUUCUGAAUCAAGAAAUUAACGUAGCUGUAGUAAUAGAAGAAUACUACGGACUAUGUGGCGAUUCAGAUGGGUCCAAUUAGAAUUAGGAUGAAUUACACUUUAUACCCUAAAAUAGAGAAAUGAUUGACUUGAUGUUCAUUCGACCCACCGGAGACGUUCUCUUUGUUUACAUUAGGAACCGUGUGAUUGAAGAAGUUUUGUUUUCAACGAUGGAAAUCUAACAUCCCCCUUAAAUUUGCGCAUCUCUAAUCCAAAUUUACUUAGCUAGUUAAGGUGCCAGUUGGUUCCAAUCCGUUUGAGUAAGGAUGUGUGGAGGAAAACGGAAUACAUGGGAUUUGCUUCACAAAUUCAAGGUGUUUCUUCUUUACGUUUUCUUUUCUUUCUUAAUUUUCGCCCCCCAAACAACCUUUGAUUUUCUCAAUUCAAUUUAUUAUAUUUUUUUUGAUGUUUUAAAGUUCUCCGUGGAAAAGCACUAUCCAUUUUCCUUUUGAAAAAAAAAAGAAUAAAAAUAAAGAGCCAGAAAGGAAAUGCAUCAUGUGGCGACAAAGGAAAAUGGAUCGUCAUGUAGCGCUUUUGGUAAACAAGUUGUACUUUCGUUGUCAAGUGACAAAGUUUAAAGAGAAAUAGUAGAAGGGCCUUAUAGUAAAAUCUUAAAUUAUAUUACCCAAAUUUAGAAAGAAAAAAUACUUUAAGGAUGCAGAUAGUCAUUUAGCCUCUGUUUUUUUCCCCAAAUUUUUUAUGUCCAAUGGCAAACCUAUUUUGAGAAUCACAAAUUUGACAUAUUUUUCACUAAAUAAAUUCCCUUUUAGGUAAAUUUUGGUAGUUAUAACUGUUAUAUUAACUUGUUAUAGUACAAACAGAUCAACAUCAUGCGGAUGAAACAAUGUCAAAUCUUGCACUUAAAAGUUCAAAUUGGGGAAAAUACAAGGAUAUUGUUGAAGAGUUGAGUUUAGGAAGUUGAACCGGUCCACGAAGCUGAACCGUGUCCAAGAACCUGAACAGUUCCAGGACGCUAACCGGUCCAGGAAGUUCGACGGUAGGGACAAUUUCCGAAGCAGAGAGAAGAAAUCCCUACCGAUCCAAUAAGCUGACCGUUCGGACUAAAGAGGCGGUUUCAGAACAUUAACCAACAGCUGUUGAAGACAUUUUUUCAAAGUCCGGUUUCAACACUCCUCGAAAACUCUAUAAAUAAGAAGAGUUGGAUAUUUUUAGGAGUUUUUAGUUUGUAAUUUGGAACAUCUCUCUCGU